UAACCUAAUAUUUAAUUAAAUUGAAGUUUUUACAUUAAUAAUUCAUAGAAUUAUAAUAUCAUAAAGAAAAAAAUAUGCAAAGAGGAGGUCGACCGAAGCACAGUUUUUGGGAAGAAGGAGAAUUUCAGCGUAUUCGUGAAAACGGAAAACAAGUUGCAUCAUGUGUAAAGUGUAAAAAAAUAAUGAAUAAUACCGCUGAACAACGAUUGAAGAGUCACAGGAAGUCGCGUAUUUGGGAAAACUCUGAUUCAAUUUCUGAAUCUGAAGAUAACUGUAACAUAACAUUGUCUAAAAAACGAAGAAAUCUUUAAGUAACUUUUUUUAUAGUAAUAAUUUAUCAUUUGAUCUAAUUCAAGAUCUUUAUUUUAAAAAAUUUUGUAAAAUAUUACGGCCUGCAUAUGAAGUCCCUAGUGAAGUUAAGUUAUCGACAACUUUACUUGAAAAAGCUCACGAUAAAUUUACUGAUCGUAAACUAAACUUGAAGGA